UAUAUCCUUAGGUUGGCAAAUUGGGUCCCGAUCCAAAAACCCUGAAAUGCAAUCCCGAGUCCCAACCCAGUCUAUGGGCUGAGUUGAAUUUAUUUCCUCUGUCACAAAGAAGAUAUGAAAAGGGCUACCUGCCGCCACAGGUAAGGACUACCGAGAAGAGGGCUACUUGGAGCAAGAUGAGAGUUAUCCUGAACGGAAGAGGGCUAUCUGUUACUAAAGUGAAGCUGACAUCGGUCUUGGAGACUUGCUAUGUUCCCAAAAGGAAAUCACUAAAGUAAAGGGUGCGCAUAGAAGGCACACGACACCGUCAUUUUCUUUUUCUCAUAUUAAACGUCUUGCUCAGGCUAGAGGAGGUGUUGAGAACUCAGUGAUUCGAGCUGUUAAAGAAAGAAGAAGAAGAAGAAGAAGAAUGAUUUUGGGCGCGAAUCAACAUCCCGUUGAAAGAGAUGGGGAAUAAGGGUAUAGUGCCAUUUUAUCCCUCUAGUUAAUGAGUGAGUAAAACGCCUAGAGUCAUGUCGUUUUGUUUCAUGUCUUUUGCUGGCUUAAACGCCACUUCUUAUGUCGUUUUGCUUAUAUUUUGUAAGGCUGAAAAGCCACGUGUCUGAGUGUCUGUUUCCUUUACUUUCCUAGCCGAUUGAGCAACCGUUGUAAAGCACAGAAUUCCAAUUCCAUGUCUGGAAUCCUGUGCUCAGCUAUUUUUUCUCUCUAUGCUUUUCACUCUCCAAAGCCGAUUUACUAGGCAGAGAUUGUUACUGUCAUAUAAAUACCAAUAUGAAAAUGAGUGAGGUGGCUUUUUUCUCCAAUUUGUUUUCGA